rnacentral:rRNA from 1 species
GACGAACGCUGGCGGCGUGCUUAACACAUGCAAGUCGAACGGAAAGGCUCCAGCUUGCUGGAGUACUCGAGUGGCGAACGGGUGAGUAACACGUGGGUAAUCUGCCCUGCACUCUGGGAUAAGCCUGGGAAACUGGGUCUAAUACUGGAUAUGACCUUUCUCCUUAUGGGGUUUGGUGGAAAGUUUUUCGGUGUAGGAUGAGCCCGCGGCCUAUCAGCUUGUUGGUGGGGUGAUGGCCUACCAAGGCGACGACGGGUAGCCGGCCUGAGAGGGUGAUCGGCCACAUUGGGACUGAGAUACGGCCCAGACUCCUACGGGAGGCAGCAGUGGGGAAUAUUGCACAAUGGGCGGAAGCCUGAUGCAGCGACGCCGCGUGAGGGAUGACGGCCUUCGGGUUGUAAACCUCUUUCAGCAGGGACGAAGCGUAGGUGACGGUACCUGCAGAAGAAGCACCGGCUAACUAUGUG